AACGAACGCUGGCGGCAGGCCUAACACAUGCAAGUCGAGCGGACCUUUCGGGGUCAGCGGCGGACGGGUGAGUAACGCGUGGGAAUAUGCCCUUCUCUACGGAAUAGUCCUGGGAAACUGGGGGUAAUACCGUAUACGCCCUUUGGGGGAAAGAUUUAUCGGGGAAGGAUUAGCCCGCGUUGGAUUAGGUAGUUGGUGGGGUAAUGGCCUACCAAGCCGACGAUCCAUAGCUGGUUUGAGAGGAUGAUCAGCCACACUGGGACUGAGACACGGCUCAGACUCCUACGGGAGGCAGCAGUGGGGAAUCUUAGACAAUGGGGGCAACCCUGAUCUAGCCAUGCCGCGUGAGUGAUGAAGGCCUUAGGGUUGUAAAGCUCUUUCAGCUGGGAAGAUAAUGACGGUACCAGCAGAAGAAGCCCCGGCUAACUCCGUG
rnacentral:rRNA from 1 species